AAAGACAUAGCAUAUUCUUCUGAAUAUACUUUAUUAACCCAUUCCGAGUACCUACCCGUUGCUUUCCGCGAGGCUGUCCUCACGGCCCUCUGAAGAUUUAUCUUUGGGGAGUCCAUUGCGGAAGGUAUGCAAUAAACUCUUGCAUUACCAUGUCAUCUGUCUGAAUCUGUUUAAACAAAUAUUA
rnacentral:misc_RNA from 1 species